rnacentral:misc_RNA from 1 species
AAGUCGUAACAAGGUUUCCGUAGGUGAACCUGCGGAAGGAUCAUUAAAGAAUACCUGGACUCCGGUUCUCGUCGAGAAAGGUCGUCCGGGGUGGUCUCCAGGUCCCCGGGGCUUCCCCCUCUUACCCUCUCGUUUACUUUACCUUCUGUUGCUUUUGGCACUAUGGCUCCUGCCCCGGGUGGUUCCCGGGGCUUGGGUCCGUGCUGCCGGCAGGGCCCGAACCUCAGUGAUAGGUCUAUGUUUGUCUGAGUACGAUAUAAUCGUUUACAA